rnacentral:rRNA from 1 species
GACGUAGGGCGCGAGCGUUGUCCGGAUUUAUUGGGCGUAAAGAGCUCGUAGGCGGCUUAUUGCGUCAGCUGUGAAAACCCGCAGCUCAACUGUGGGCUUGCAGCUGAUACGGGCAGGCUUGAGUUCGGUAGGGGAGACUGGAAUUCCUGGUGUAGCGGUGAAAUGCGCAGAUAUCAGGAGGAACACCGGUGGCGAAGGCGGGUCUCUGGGCCGAUACUGACGCUGAGGAGCGAAAGCGUGGGGAGCGAACAGG